GCAGGUGUGGUGUAACGGUAGCACUUCACCCUUCCAAGGUGACUGAGAGGGGUUCGAAUCCCCCCACCUGCU
rnacentral:tRNA from 2 species